CCUACGGGCGGCAGCAGUGGGGAAUAUUGCACAAUGGGGGAAACCCUGAUGCAGCAACGCCGCGUGAGUGAUGACGGCUUUCGGGUUGUAAAGCUCUGUCUUCAGGGACGAUAAUGACGGUACCUGAGGAAGAAGCCACGGCUAACUACGUGCCAGCAGCCGCGGUAAUACGGAGGAGGCAAGCGUUAUCCGGAUUUACUGGGUUUAAAGGGGGCGUAGGCGGAGCGUAAAGUCAGUGGGAAAAGUGAGGGGCUCACCCCCUUCCCGCCAUUGAAACUGGCGCUCUUGAGUGGAAGAGAAGUAUGCGGAAUGCGUGGUGUAGCGGUGAAAUGCAUAGAUAUCACGCAGAACCCCGGUUGCGAAGGCAGCAUGCCGGCUGCCUACUGACGCUGAAGCACGAAAGCGUGGGGAUCGAACAGGAUUAGAUACCCGGGUAGUC
rnacentral:rRNA from 1 species